rnacentral:rRNA from 1 species
GCACAAGCGGUGGAGCAUGUGGUUUAAUUCGAUGCAACGCGAAGAACCUUACCUGGUCUUGACAUCCACAGAACUUUCCAGAGAUGGAUUGGUGCCUUCGGGAACUGUGAGACAGGUGCUGCAUGGCUGUCGUCAGCUCGUGUUGUGAAAUGUUGGGUUAAGUCCCGCAACGAGCGCAACCCUUAUCCUUUGUUGCCAGCGGUCCGGCCGGGAACCCAAAGGAGACUGCCAGUGAUAAACUGGAGGAAGGUGGGAUGACGUCAAGUCAUCAUGGCCCUUACGACCAGGGCUACACACGUGCUACAAUGGCGCAUACAAAGAGAAGCGACCUCGCGAGAGCAAGCGGACCUCAUAAAGUGCGUCGUAGUCCGGAUUGGAGUCUGCAACUCGACUCCAUGAAGUCGGAAUCGCUAGUAAUCGUGGAUCAGAAUGCCACGGUGAAUACGUUCCCGGGCCUU